ACGGCAGGUUCGGACAUUUGGUUCGGCACUCGCCCGAGCGGGCGUUGGUGCGAGGCUACCAUCCGUUGGAUUACGCCUGAACGCCUCUAAGGCCGUAUCCACUCUGGAGA
rnacentral:ncRNA from 1 species